rnacentral:rRNA from 1 species
AGAGCGAACGCUGGCGGCAGGCUUAACACAUGCAAGUCGAGCGCCCGUAGCAAUACGGGAGCGGCAGACGGGAGAGUAACACGUGGGAACGCGCCCUUCGGUUCGGAAUAACUCAGGGAAACUUGAGCUAAUACCGAAUACGCCCUUACGGGGAAAGAUUUAUUGCCGAAGGAACGGCCCGCGUCGGAUUAGCUAGUUGGUGAGGUAACGGCUCACCAAGGCGACGAUCCGUAGCUGGUCUGAGAGGAUGACCAGCCUCACUGGGACUGAGACACGGCCCAGACUCCUACGGGAGGCAGCAGUGGGGAAUAUUGGACAAUGGGCGCAAGCCUGAUCCAGCCAUGCCGCGUGGAUGAUGAAGGCCUUAGGGUUGUAAAGUCCUUUUAACGGGGAAGAUAAUGACGGUACCCGUAGAAUAAGCCCCGGCUAACUUCGUGCCAGCAGCCGC